GUCAACGUAGCUUAAGUCUAAAGCGAGGCACUGAAAAUGCCUAAACGAAUCCUAAUGAUUCCGCAGACA
ensembl:Mt_tRNA